rnacentral:rRNA from 1 species
UACGUAGGGUGCAAGCGUUGUCCGGAAUUAUUGGGCGUAAAGAGCUCGUGGGCGGUUUGUCACGUCGGCUGUGAAAACCCGAGGCUCAACCUCGGGCCUGCAGUCGAUACGGGCAGACUAGAGUAUGGCAGGGGAGACUGGAAUUCCUGGUGUAGCGGUGAAAUGCGCAGAUAUCAGGAGGAACACCGGUGGCGAAGGCGGGUCUCUGGGCCAUAACUGACGCUGAGGAGCGAAAGCGUGGGGAGCGAACAGG